rnacentral:rRNA from 1 species
AUUGAACGCUGGCGGCAGGCCUAACACAUGCGAGUCGAGCGGAUGAAGGGAGCUUGCUCCUGGAUUCAGCGGCGGACGGGUGAGUAAUGCCUAGGAAUCUGCCUGGUAGUGGGGGAUAACGUCCGGAAACGGGCGCUAAUACCGCAUACGUCCUGAGGGAGAAAGUGGGGGAUCUUCGGACCUCACGCUAUCAGAUGAGCCUAGGUCGGAUUAGCUAGUUGGUGGGGUAAAGGCCUACCAAGGCGACGAUCCGUAACUGGUCUGAGAGGAUGAUCAGUCACACUGGAACUGAGACACGGUCCAGACUCCUACGGGAGGCAGCAGUGGGGAAUAUUGGACAAUGGGCGAAAGCCUGAUCCAGCCAUGCCGCGUGUGUGAAGAAGGUCUUCGGAUUGUAAAGCACUUUAAGUUGGGAGGAAGGGCAGUAAGUUAAUACCUUGCUCUCUUGACGUUACCAACAGAAUAAGCACCGGCUAACUUCGUG